GACGAACGCUGGCGGCGUGCCUAAUACAUGCCAGUAGAACGCUGAAGGAGGAGCUUGCUUCUCUGGAUGAGUUGCGAACGGGUGAGUAACACGUAGGUAACCUGCCUGGUAGCGGGGGAUAACUAUUGGAAACGAUAGCUAAUACCGCAUAAGAGUAGAUGUUGCAUGACAUUUGCUUAAAAGGUGCAAUUGCAUCACUACCAGAUGGACCUGCGUUGUAUUAGCUAGUUGGUGGGGUAACGGCUCACCAAGGCGACGAUACAUAGCCGACCUGAGAGGGUGAUCGGCCACACUGGGACUGAGACACGGCCCAGACUCCUACGGGAGGCAGCAGUAGGGAAUCUUCGGCAAUGGACGGAAGUCUGACCGAGCAACGCCGCGUGAGUGAAGAAGGUUUUCGGAUCGUAAAGCUCUGUUGUAAGAGAAGAACGAGUGUGAGAGUGGAAAGUUCACACUGUGACGGUAUCUUACCAGAAAGGGACGGCUAACUACGUG
rnacentral:rRNA from 1 species